AGAGUUGAUUCCUGGCUCAGGACGAACGCUGGCGGCGUGCUUAAUACAUGCAAGUCGAACGAGGUCCAUCCGAUCUUCGGAUUGGUGAAGACCUAGUGGCGAACGGGUGCGUAACACGUGAGAAACCUGCCCCGGUCUCUGGAAUAACAGUUGGAAACGGCUGCUAAUACCGGAUGCCGUCGGCCCACCGCAUGGUGGACCGACGAAAGGGUUACCGGACCGGGAGGGUCUCGCGGCCUAUCAGCUUGUUGGUGAGGUAACGGCUCACCAAGGCAUCGACGGGUAGCUGGUCUGAGAGGAUGAUCAGCCACACUGGGACUGAGACACGGCCCAGACUCCUACGGGAGGCAGCAGUAGGGAAUAUUGCACAAUGGGCGAAAGCCUGAUGCAGCAACGCCGCGUGCGGGAAGAAGGCCCUAGGGUUGUAAACCGCUUUCAGCAGGGAAGAAAAUGACGGUACCUGCAGAAGAAGGUGCGGCCAACUACGUGCCAGCAGCCGCGGUGACACGUAGGCACCAAGCGUUGUCCGGAUUUAUUGGGCGUAAAGAGCUCGUAGGCGGUUCAGUAAGUCGGGUGUGAAAACUCUGGGCUCAACCCAGAGACGCCACUCGAUACUGCUGUGACUAGAGUGCGGUAGGGGAGCGGGGAAUUCCUAGUGUAGCGGUGAAAUGCGCAGAUAUUAGGAGGAACACCAGUGGCGAAGGCGCCGCUCUGGGCCGUAACUGACGCUGAGGAGCGAAAGCGUGGGUAGCAAACAGGAUUAGAUACCCUGGUAGUCCACGCCGUAAACGUUGGGCACUAUGUGUGGGUCUCAACCAACGAGAUCCGCGCCGUCGCUAACGCAUUAAGUGCCCCGCCUGGGGAGUACGGCCGCAAGGCUAAACUCAAAGGAAUUGACGG
rnacentral:rRNA from 1 species